GUCCUCGAAGCCGAAUCGCAUGAGGCAGCCCCCUCCUAAGGGGCAGGUUGGCGGCUGGAAUCCGCCCGAGGACACCA
rnacentral:tRNA from 1 species